CCUAGCUGGAGGAAGUUCGUCACUGGAAGCGGGGCUUUGAGGGGCUCUAGCCUUUGUCCUACUUCCGGUACUCACUCUCUGUGUGUGAAUCAACCGUGAUCGGCCAGCUCUUGUUCCUUCCUCGGAGCUUUCCUUGACUGUUGCCUCAACUUACCCACAAUGGUGCACACUCAUUCCUCUGAAACUGGCCCAGCAUUGCCUGAAGUGGACAGAGACAGGAAGCCGAACAGCUUAAGCAAGUGCUGGGUCCAGUGAGAAUUUCAGAUGGACAUUUUCUUGUGAAUAGCCGUCUCUUCUUAAUAGCAUGAUCCUCUGAUGAAGAGAACUGGAGACCCAACAUUUGCCCUGGUGACUGCAGUGUCUCAUGUCCAGGAUAGAGCUGAUAAAUGCUGCCUGCACAUCGAGAUCACCAGAGAUACUUGCAAAGCACCGAUGCCCAGUCUUGUCUCAGGGAUUCUAUUUCACCUAGGGUCAGGCUGUGAGUAGGAAUUUUAGACCCCUCUCACCAAUAGUUCUAAUAUUUCUCUAGAACUAAAAAUAAAUUGCUAACAACAGCCCCUA